UUCAAGUGAUGCUACCUUCGCUUCCUUG
rnacentral:piRNA from 1 species